AUGUCGUCGUUCAUGGCGGCGUCGGUGCUGGCAUGGGUGUGCCUACUGCGGAGCCGGUUCGUGGGUGUUGAAAGCGCGGCGCACAGCCACAUGCUGUUCUCGACAGAGUGCCGGUCGAGGCUGGCGCCGCCGCUCCCCGCCGAGUACUUCGGCAACUGCCUGCGCCCGUGCUUCAUGGAGGCCACGAUGGAGCUCCUGAUGACGAGCGGCGGCUGCGGUGCCAUCGGGUUGGCGAUAAGGGAGAUGGAGCGAGGCGUGCUGGAGGGCGCAGAGGCAGAGGGGUGGCUGGGGCAGGUCAUGUCGGUGCUGCCGCAGCGGCCCAUGUCGCCGAGCUCCUCAACCACAGAGCAUCUGACUGACAUCGCUCGUGUCCGUGUGUGUGCUGACAGAGUAAAUUUGACAGAUGCUCUUGUAAAUUUGACAGAGUAUGUACUCUAUGCUUUACCAAUCCGUUGUAAUUCACAAGCUGACCACAGC
rnacentral:rRNA from 1 species